GAUGAACGCUGGCGGCGUGCCUAAUACAUGCAAGUCGAGCGAACAGACGAGGAGCUUGCUCCUCUGACGUUAGCGGCGGACGGGUGAGUAACACGUGGAUAACCUACCUAUAAGACUGGGAUAACUUCGGGAAACCGGAGCUAAUACCGGAUAAUAUCUUGAACCGCAUGGUUCAAUAGUGAAAGACGGUUUUGCUGUAACUUAUAAUUGGAUCCCGGCCGCAUCGGCUGGUUGGGAAGGUAACGGCUUACAAGGGCAACGAUGCGUAGCCGACCUGAGAGGGUGACCGGCCACACUGGAACUGAGACACGGUCCAGACUCCUACGGGAGGCAGCAGUAGGGAAUCUUCCGCAAUGGGCGAAAGCUUGACGGAGCAACGCCGCGUGAGUGAUGAAGGUCUUCGGAUCGUAAAACUCUGUUAUUAGGGAAGAACAAAUGUGUAAGUAACUAUGCACGUCUUGACGGUACCUAAUCAGAAAGCCACGGCUAACUACGUG
rnacentral:rRNA from 1 species